GUGGGGAAUAUUGGGCAAUGGGGGCAACCCUGACCCAGCAACGCCGCGUGAGGGAAGAAGGUUUUCGGAUUGUAAACCUCUGUCCUAUGGGAAGAAGGAAGUGACGGUACCAUAGGAGGAAGCCCCGGCUAACUACGUGCCAGCAGCCGCGGUAAUACGUAGGGGGCGAGCGUUGUCCGGAAUUACUGGGCGUAAAGGGUGCGCAGGUGGCCUGACAAGUCAGAUGUGAAAUACCGAUGCUUAACGUCGGGGCUGCAUUUGAAACUAUGAGGCUGGAGUGCAGGAGAGGGAAGCGGAAUUCCUAGUGUAGCGGUGAAAUGCAUAGAUAUUAGGAGGAACACCAGUGGCGAAGGCGGCUUACUGGACUGUAACUGACGUUGAGGCUCGAAAGCGUGGGGAGCAAACAGGAUUAGAAACCCUUGUAGUCC
rnacentral:rRNA from 1 species